rnacentral:rRNA from 1 species
AUUGAACGCUGGCGGCAGGCCUAACACAUGCAAGUCGAGCGCCCCGCAAGGGGAGCGGCAGACGGGAGAGUAACACGUGGGAACGUACCGUUCGGUUCGGAACAACCCAGGGAAACUUGGGCUAAUACCGGAUACGUCCGAAAGGAGAAAGAUUCAUCGCCGAAGGAUCGGCCCGCGUCUGAUUAGCUAGUUGGUGGGGUAAUGGCCCACCAAGGCGACGAUCAGUAGCUGGUCUGAGAGGAUGAUCAGCCUCACGGGGACUGAGACACGGCCCAGACUCCUACGGGAGGCAGCAGUGGGGAAUAUUGGACAAUGGGCGCAAGCCUGAUCCAGCCAUGCCGCGUGGGUGAUGAAGGCCCUAGGGUUGUAAAGCCCUUUCGGCGGGGAAGAUAAUGACGGUACCCGCAGAAGAAGCCCCGGCUAACUUCGUGCCAGCAGCCGCCGCAGUAA